rnacentral:rRNA from 1 species
UCUUCCCAUUCCGAACAGAGAAGUUAAGCCCGUUAGCGCCGAUGGUACUGCAGAAAUGUGGGAGAGUAGGUCGACGCCAACC